rnacentral:misc_RNA from 1 species
AACCUAGCACACCUGCGGUGUGUACCUGCGGAAGGAUCAUUGCAGAAACAAAUAUAUACCCAAGGGGGAAGAGUUAGCGCUCUUUUUCCUGGGCAAACAACCAACACACAUGACUAGGAAAAGCAAACAGAGAUUGUGGAGGAAUUGGCUUGGUCGGCUUGGCUUGGCUUGGCUUGGGUCCUCGCACAGCACACAAGAAGCUCUUGUCUGAUAAGUAGCUUGCUGAUUUGGAGUUACUAC